rnacentral:rRNA from 1 species
UUUUAUCUUUUAAAAGACCUAGUAAUAGGUAUGCUUUAGGAGGGGCUUGCGCCAUAUUAGUUAGUUGGUAGGGUAAUGGCCUACCAAGACGAUGAUGUGUAGCUGGACUGAGAGGUUGAACAGCCACAUUGGGACUGAGACACGGCCCAAACUCCUACGGGAGGCAGCAGUAGGGAAUUUUCGGCAAUGGAGGAAACUCUGACCGAGCAACGCCGCGUGAAUGACGAAGUACUUCGGUAUGUAAAGUUCUUUUAUCAAGGAAGAAAAGCAAAUGGCGAACCAUUUGUUUGCCGGUACUUGAUGAAUAAGCCCCGGCUAAUUAUGUGCCAGCAGCCGCGGUAAGACAUAAGGGGCAAGUGUUAUCCGGAAUUAUUGGGCGUAAAGGGUGCGUAGGCGGUCUAGUAAGUCAGUGGUGUAAUGGCAACGCUUAACGUUGUCCGGCUAUUGAAACUGCUAAACUUGAGUUAGAUAGAGGCGAGUGGAAUUCCAUGUGUAGCGGUAAAAUGCGUAAAUAUAUGGAGGAACACCAGAGGCGUAGGCGGCUCGCUGGGUCUUAACUGACGCUGAGGCACGAAAGCGUGGGGAGCAAACAGGAUUAGAUACCCUGGUAGUCCACGCCGUAAACGAUGAGUACUAAGUGUCGGGUUAAACCGGUACUGAAGUUAACACAUUAAGUACUCCGCCUGAGUAGUACGUACGCAAGUAUGAAACUUAAAGGAAUUGACGGGACUCCGCACAAGCGGUGGAUCAUGUUGUUUAAUUCGAAGAUACCCGAAAAACCUUACCAGGUCUUGACAUGUUUUUGCAAAAUGAUAGUAAUAUCGUGGAGGUUACCAGAAACACAGGUGGUGCAUGGUUGUCGUCAGCUCGUGUCGUGAGAUGUUAGGUUAAGUCCUAAAACGAGCGAAACCCUUAUCGUUAGUUGCCAGCACGUUAUGGUGGGGACUUUAACGAGACUGCCAAUGAUAAAUUGGAGGAAGGUGAGGAUCACGUCAAAUCAGCAUGCCCCUUAUGACCUGGGCUACAAACGUGAUACAAUGGCUGUUACAAAGGGUAGCUGAAACGCAAGUUCUUGGCCAAUCCCCAAAAACAGUCCCAGUCCGGAUUGAAGUCUGCAACUCGACUUCAUGAAGUUGGAAUCGCUAGUAAUCGCGA